AGAGAUCGCGUGGAUGCCCUGCCUGGGGUUGAAGCGUUAAAUCUAAUCAGGCUAGUUUGUUAGUGGCGUGUCUGUCCGCAGCUGGCAAGCGAAUGUAAAGACUGACUAAGCAUGUAGUGCCGAGGAUGUAGGAAUUUCGGACGCGGGUUCAACUCCCGCCAGCUCCACCA
rnacentral:tmRNA from 1 species